rnacentral:misc_RNA from 1 species
GAUGAAGAACGCAGCGAACGUGCGAAACGUAAUGUGAAUUGCAGAAUUCAGUGAAUCAUCGAAUCUUUGAACGCAUCUUGCGCUCCUUGGUAUUCCGAGGAGCAUGCCUGUUUGAGUGUCGUGAAUACUCUCAACUUCAACCCUUUUUUCGGAAAGGGAGGAAGGUUGGACUUGGGUGUUUGUUGAAGUGCGAGCUUCGACUCAUCCUAAAUGCAUUAGCGAUCUGCCUCGAUCACACACAAUGUGAUAAUUAAAACUAAAGCAUUGUUUAAUGAUCAAGUCGAGACUGCUUCUAACUGUCGCAAGACAAUAACGUGCAUACAUUUGUGCAUGUCAUUUGACCUCAAAUCAGGUAGGACUACCCGCUGAACUUAAGCAUAUCAAUAAGCGGAGGA